GCCAAGGCUUGCUGCCCACUUUGCCGCCAUCCUCUGACAGAGUCUGAUCUAUUUAUCUGCCCACCUGAAGCAUCUAAUGCUGCAAAUAGUGGAAGUUCAUCCACUGCAUCAUCCAAAGUGAUUGCACUCCUAAAACUUCUUGUUGCAUCAAGAGAUGAAAGCCCUGGCAGAAAAUCAAUUGUGUUCUCUCAAUUCAGGAAGUUGUUGCUCCUACUUGAAGAGCCGCUUAA
rnacentral:misc_RNA from 1 species